UACACAAAUAUCAUCAGCUUCACCUGCAGCUUUUCCUGAAAAGUCUGAAGUGCUCCAGUCUCUUGUGCCCUCCUUGAAUUCUUUUGCGUUACCAACAACAUGCCAGGAGAGUUUAUGCCAUAAUGGAGGGACUUGUCGUCACAUCUAUCUGGAUAAUGGGGCCUCCUCAUUUCACUGUGAUUGCCAACUUCACUUCACUGGGCAUUUCUGUGAGAAAGAUACAGCACUGUUUUUUCCAUCUUUCAAUGGGGAUGCCUAUUUAGAAUUGCCUUCCCUAACAUCUGUAUCCGAGACCAAGAUUGAAUCUGGGCAGGAACAAAACAGAAUUAUAACUAUAUAUUUGACAGUGAAAACAACUGCUUUAAAUGGCACUAUCCUUUAUGCCAGUGAAAAGAACUUUGGAGAACAGUUUCUUCAUCUAUAUCUUGUGGAAGGAAGACCAACAGUUCAAUUCAGCUGUGGCAAUUCUCAUAAUAUUCUAACUGUGUCUGUGAAUCACUCCAUCAGCAAUGGUGUGCUCACGCCUAUCAC